ensembl:snoRNA
AUCCUUUUGUAGUUCAUAAGCAUGAUGAUUGGGUUUUCACACCCAUGAGAAAUAUGCCUUCCUCAAAUCUUGUUACUAUGCUGACACACUACCUGUCUAAUG